UACGGGGGGGGCAAGCGUUGUUCGGAAUUACUGGGCGUAAAGGGCUCGUAGGCGGCCAACUAAGUCAAACGUGAAAUCCCUCGGCUUAACCGGGGAACUGCGCUUGAUACUGGAUGGCUUGAGAUUGGGAGAGGGAUGCGGAAUUCCAGGUGUAGCGGUGAAAUGCGUAGAUAUCUGGAGGAACACCGGUGGCGAAGGCGGCAUUCUGGACCAACACUGACGCUGAGGAGCGAAAGCCAGGGGAGCAAACGGG
rnacentral:rRNA from 1 species